rnacentral:rRNA from 1 species
GACAGAGGGUGCAACCGUUGUUCGGAAUUACUGGGCGUAAAGCGCGUGUAGGCUGCUCUGCAAGUCGGAUGUGAAAGCCCUGGGCUCAACCUAGGAAGUGCAUUCGAAACUGCAGAGCUGGAGUCCUGGAGAGGAAGGCGGAAUUCUCGGUGUAGAGGUGAAAUUCGUAGAUAUCGAGAGGAACACCGGUGGCGAAGGCGGCCUUCUGGACAGUGACUGACGCUGAGACGCGAAAGCGUGGGGAGCAAACAGG